rnacentral:rRNA from 1 species
GACGAACGCUGGCGGCGUGCCUAAUACAUGCAAGUUGAGCGAUGAAGCUUGGUGCUUGCACCAAUUUGAAGAGCAGCGAACGGGUGAGUAACGCGUGGGGAAUCUGCCUUUGAGCGGGGGACAACAUUUGGAAACGAAUGCUAAUACCGCAUAACAACUUUAAACAUAAGUUUUAAGUUUGAAAGAUGCAAUUGCAUCACUCAAAGAUGAUCCCGCGUUGUAUUAGCUAGUUGGUGAGGUAAAGGCUCACCAAGGCGAUGAUACAUAGCCGACCUGAGAGGGGGGGCGGCCAGCUUGGGACUGUGACACGGCACAAACGGCUACGGGAGGCAGCAGGAGGGAAUCGUCAGCAAUGGGCGAAAGACAUACCGAGCAACGCCGCGGGAGUGAAGAAGGUUGUCGGGUCGUAAAACUCUGUUGGUAGAGAAGAACGUUGGUGAGAGUGGAAAGCUCAUCAAGUGACGGUAACUACCCAGAAAGGGACGGCUAACUACGUG